rnacentral:rRNA from 1 species
AUGAAGUCGGAAUUGCUAGUAAUCGCGGAUCAGCAUGCCGCGGUGAAUACGUUCCCGGGCCUUGUACACACCGCCCGUCACACCAUGAGAGUCGAUAACACCCGAAGCCUGUAGUCUAACAGCAAUGAGGACGCAGUCGAAGGUGGGAUUGAUAAUUAGGGUGAAGUCGUAACAAGGUAAC